CAAGAGAUAGCUUAACCACUAAAAGCAUUCAACUUACAAUUGAAAAAUGUUCACCAUGAACUCCCUUGA
rnacentral:tRNA from 1 species